rnacentral:rRNA from 1 species
UCGUUAACGAACGAGACCUUAACCUACUAAAUAGUCCUACUUUGUUUGCAAAGUGGGGACUUCUUAGAGGGACUAUCGGAUGAUAAACCGGUGGAAGUUUGAGGCAAUAACAGGUCUGUGAUGCCCUUAGAUGUUCUGGGCCGCACGCGCGCUACACUGACAGAGUCAGCGAGUUCCUCCUUCGCCGGAAGGCGUGGGUAAUCUUGUGAAACUCUGUCGUGCUGGGGAUAGAUCAUUGCAAUUAUUGAUCUUCAACGAGGAAUUCCUAGUAAGCGCAAGUCAUCAGCUUGCGUUGAUUACGUCCCUGCCCUUUGUACACACCGCCCGUCGCUAAUACCGAUUGAAUGGGUG